rnacentral:rRNA from 1 species
GAUGAACGCUGGCGGCGUGCCUAAUACAUGCCAGUCGAGCGAACGGACGAGAAGCUUGCUUCUCUGAUGUUAGCGGCGGACGGGUGAGUAACACGUGGAUAACCUACCUAUAAGACUGGGAUAACUUCGGGAAACCGUAGCUAAUACCGGAUAAUAUUUUGAACCGCAUGGUUCAAAAGUGAAAGACGGUCUUGCUGUCACUUAUAGAUGGAUCCGCGCUGCAUUAGCUAGUUGGUAAGGUAACGGCUUACCAAGGCAACGAUGCAUAGCCGACCUGAGAGGGUGAGCGGCCACACUGGAACGGAGACACGGUCCAGACUACGACGGGAGGCAGCAGUAGGGAAUAUUCCGAAAUGGGCGAAAGCAUGACGGAGCAACGCCGCGUGAGUGAUGAAGGUCUUCGGAUCGUAAAACUCUGUUAUUAGGGAAGAACAUAUGUGUAAGUAACUGUGCACAUCUUGACGGUACCUAAUCAGAAAGCCACGGCUAACUACGUG